rnacentral:rRNA from 1 species
AGGAAUAUUGGUCAAUGGGCGCAGGCCUGAACCAGCCAAGUAGCGUGAAGGAUGACUGCCCUAUGGGUUGUAAACUUCUUUUAUAAAGGAAUAAAGUCGGGUAUGUAUACCCGUUUGCAUGUACUUUAUGAAUAAGGAUCGGCUAACUCCGUGCCAGCAGCCGCGGUAAUACGGAGGAUCCGAGCGUUAUCCGGAUUUAUUGGGUUUAAAGGGAGCGUAGAUGGAUGUUUAAGUCAGUUGUGAAAGUUUGCGGCUCAACCGUAAAAUUGCAGUUGAUACUGGAUAUCUUGAGUGCAGUUGAGGCAGGCGGAAUUCGUGGUGUAGCGGUGAAAUGCUUAGAUAUCACGAAGAACUCUGAUUGCGAAGGCAGCCUGCUAAGCUGCAACUGACAUUGAGGCUCGAAAGUGUGGGUAUCAAACAGGAUUAGAUACCCUGGUAGUCCACACGGUAAACGAUGAAUACUCGCUGUUUGCGAUAUACUGCAAGCGGCCAAGCGAAAGCGUUAAGUAUUCCACCUGGGGAGUACGCCGGCAACGGUGAAACUCAAAGGAAUUGACGGGGGCCCGCACAAGCGGAGGAACAUGUGGUUUAAUUCGAUGAUACGCGAGGAACCUUACCCGGGCUUAAAUUGCAGAUGAAUUACGGUGAAAGCCGUAAGCCGCAAGGCAUCUGUGAAGGUGCUGCAUGGUUGUCGUCAGCUCGUGCCGUGAGGUGUCGGCUUAAGUGCCAUAACGAGCGCAACCCUUGUUGUCAGUUACUAACAGGUUCCGCUGAGGACUCUGACAAGACUGCCAUCGUAAGAUGUGAGGAAGGUGGGGAUGACGUCAAAUCAGCACGGCCCUUACGUCCGGGGCUACACACGUGUUACAAUGGGGGGUACAGAGGGCCGCUACCACGCGAGUGGAUGCCAAUCCCCAAAACCUCUCUCAGUUCGGACUGGAGUCUGCAACCCGACUCCACGAAGCUGGAUUCGCUAGUAAUCGCGCAUCAGCCACGGCGCGGUGAAUACGUUCCCG